AGCAAUAUGUCAGCGGCAGACGGGUGAGUAACGCGUGGGAACGUACCUUUUGGUUCGGAACAACUGACGGAAACUUCAGCUAAUACCGGAUAAGCCCUUACGGGGAAAGAUUUAUCGCCGAAAGAUCGGCCCGCGUCUGAUUAGCUAGUUGGUGAGGUAAUGGCUCACCAAGGCGACGAUCAGUAGCUGGUCUGAGAGGAUGAUCAGCCACAUUGGGACUGAGACACGGCCCAAACUCCUACGGGAGGCAGCAGUGGGGAAUAUUGGACAAUGGGCGCAAGCCUGAUCCAGCCAUGCCGCGUGAGUGAUGAAGGCCCUAGGGUUGUAAAGCUCUUUUGUGCGGGAAGAUAAUGACGGUACCGCAAGAAUAAGCCCCGGCUAACUUCGUGCCAGCAGCCGCGGUAAUACGAAGGGGGCUAGCGUUGCUCUGAAUCNCUGGGCGUAAAGGGGUGCUGUAAGCGGGUCUUU
rnacentral:rRNA from 1 species